rnacentral:snoRNA from 2 species
UGAAUGAUGAAAGUCAUGCCAAUCUGAAAAGAUGAGGUAAGCUCUGGGGUAACUGAGUU